UUGCACAUGCGCAGGUAGGUGCUUGGCAUACUAGGCUUCUGCCCACAAUAAAGAUGGCGACCUAGAAGGCGCAUGCGCACAUCGCCCCGCAAUUCUGCUCUAACGGCGGCGAUACCAGAGCCCUCGGCAGACGGAUGUAAGGACCAACUAAGAGUGGAGGCGAGUCUCAUGCAGUCUCCGUUUAUUGACGUUUCAGACUCAUGCAGCAUCCGGCAUACAAAAAGGGGAUAUGGAUCUUGGCAUGUGGGGAGGCUGCCUGCUCCUGAACUGAAAGCAAGAAUUGUGAACGAGAGUCAUGGCUGAGGCUGCUUUUCACCUGCCCUGGAAGCUGCUUGGUUCUCCCAUUCCUGACUCCCCAGUUCCCUUUCCUCCUAAGCAGGAUAGGUUUACUCUGGAAGAGCAGAGAAUUGCGAUGCGGUUCAAGCAACUAUGGCAAAACCACAACCGUGUCCAGAGAACAAAGGAGAGAAGACUUCUUAUAGAAGAAAGGGGAUGCGUUGGAGGACUGUUCUAAGCAAAACGUCCUUUGGAGGAAACUGGGAGUCCCAUCUGUCAUAGGGGCUCACGGGGUUGAAUUGUAAGAGUCUCUCAUUGGCUGGGCUGUUGCUGGGAUAGUCAGAAACUCUUCCCUCCUACUGGAUGAUAAAGCAGCCAAUAUAGAGU